rnacentral:rRNA from 1 species
GGUUAAGCGACCAAGCGUACACGGUGGAUGCCUAGGCAGUCAGAGGCGAUGAAGGACGUGCUAAUCUGCGAAAAGCGUCGGUAAGGUGAUAUGAACCGUUAUAACCGACGAUACCCGAAUGGGGAAACCCAGUGCAAUUCGUUGCACUAUUGCAUGGUGAAUACAUAGCCAUGCAAGGCGAACCGGGGGAACUGAAACAUCUAAGUACCCCGAGGAAAAGAAAUCAACCGAGAUUCCCCCAGUAGCGGCGAGCGAACGGGGAGGAGCCCAGAACCUGAAUCAGCGUAUGUGUUAGUGGAAGCGUCUGGAAAGUCGCACGGUACAGGGUGAUAGUCCCGUACACAAAAAUGCAUAUGUUGUGAGUUCGAUGAGUAGGGCGGGACACGUGACAUCCUGUCUGAAUAUGGGGGGACCAUCCUCCAAGGCUAAAUACUCCUGACUGACCGAUAGUGAACCAGUACCGUGAGGGAAAGGCGAAAAGAACCCCGGCGAGGGGAGUGAAACAGAACCUGAAACCGUGUACGUACAAGCAGUGGGAGCACCUUCGUGGUGUGACUGCGUACCUUUUGUAUAAUGGGUCAGCGACUUAUAUUUUGUAGCAAGGUUAACCGAAUAGGGGAGCCGUAGGGAAACCGAGUCUUAACUGGGCGAAUAGUUGCAAGGUAUAGACCCGAAACCCGGUGAUCUAGCCAUGGGCAGGUUGAAGGUUGGGUAACACUAACUGGAGGACCGAACCGACUAAUGUUGAAAAAUUAGCGGAUGACUUGUGGCUGGGGGUGAAAGGCCAAUCAAACCGGGAGAUAGCUGGUUCUCCCCGAAAGCUAUUUAGGUAGCGCCUCGUGAACUCAUCUUCGGGGGUAGAGCACUGUUUCGGCUAGGGGGUCAUCCCGACUUACCAAACCGAUGCAAACUCCGAAUACCGAAGAAUGUUAUCACGGGAGACACACGGCGGGUGCUAACGUCCGUCGUGAAGAGGGAAACAACCCAGACCGCCAGCUAAGGUCCCAAAGUCAUGGUUAAGUGGGAAACGAUGUGGGAAGGCACAGACAGCCAGGAUGUUGGCUUAGAAGCAGCCAUCAUUUAAAGAAAGCGUAAUAGCUCACUGGUCGAGUCGGCCUGCGCGGAAGAUGUAACGGGGCUAAACCAUGCACCGAAGCUGCGGCAGCGNNNNNNNNNNNNNNNNNNNNNGGGGAGCGUUCUGUAAGCCGUUGAAGGUGACCUGUGAGGGUUGCUGGAGGUAUCAGAAGUGCGAAUGCUGACAUAAGUAACGAUAAUGCGGGUGAAAAACCCGCACGCCGGAAGACCAAGGGUUCCUGUCCAACGUUAAUCGGGGCAGGGUGAGUCGACCCCUAAGGCGAGGCUGAAAGGCGUAGUCGAUGGGAAACAGGUUAAUAUUCCUGUACUUGGUGUUACUGCGAAGGGGGGACGGAGAAGGCUAUGCUAGCCGGGCGACGGUUGUCCCGGUUUAAGCAUGUAGGCGGAGUGACCAGGUAAAUCCGGUUGCUUAUCAACGCUGAGGUGUGAUGACGAGUCACUACGGUGAUGAAGUAGUUGAUGCCAUGCUUCCAGGAAAAGCCUCUAAGCAUCAGGUAACAUGAAAUCGUACCCCAAACCGACACAGGUGGUCAGGUAGAGAAUACUCAGGCGCUUGAGAGAACUCGGGUGAAGGAACUAGGCAAAAUGGUGCCGUAACUUCGGGAGAAGGCACGCUGACACGUAGGUGAAGCGGUUUACCCGUGGAGCUGAAGUCAGUCGAAGAUACCAGCUGGCUGCAACUGUUUAUUAAAAACACAGCACUGUGCAAACACGAAAGUGGACGUAUACGGUGUGACGCCUGCCCGGUGCUGGAAGGUUAAUUGAUGGGGUCAGCGCAAGCGAAGCUCUUGAUCGAAGCCCCGGUAAACGGCGGCCGUAACUAUAACGGUCCUAAGGUAGCGAAAUUCCUUGUCGGGUAAGUUCCGACCUGCACGAAUGGCGUAAUGAUGGCCAGGCUGUCUCCACCCGAGACUCAGUGAAAUUGAACUCGCUGUGAAGAUGCAGUGUACCCGCGGCAAGACGGAAAGACCCCGUGAACCUUUACUAUAGCUUGACACUGAACAUUGAGCCUUGAUGUGUAGGAUAGGUGGGAGGCAUAGAAGUGUGGACGCCAGUCUGCAUGGAGCCAACCUUGAAAUACCACCCUUUAAUGUUUGAUGUUCUAACUCGGCCCCGUAAUCCGGGGUGAGGACAGUGUCAGGUGGGUAGUUUGACUGGGGCGGUCUCCUCCCAAAGAGUAACGGAGGAGCACGAAGGUUAGCUAAUCACGGUCGGACAUCGUGAGGUUAGUGCAAAGGCAUAAGCUAGCUUCACUGCGAGAGUGACGGCUCGAGCAGGUACGAAAGUAGGUCUUAGUGAUCCGGUGGUUCUGAAUGGAAGGGCCAUCGCUCAACGGAUAAAAGGUACUCCGGGGAUAACAGGCUGAUACCGCCCAAGAGUUCAUAUCGACGGCGGUGUUUGGCACCUCGAUGUCGGCUCAUCACAUCCUGGGGCUGAAGUAGGUCCCAAGGGUAUGGCUGUUCGCCAUUUAAAGUGGUACGCGAGCUGGGUUUAGAACGUCGUGAGACAGUUCGGUCCCUAUCUGCCGUGGGCGYUGGARRAYUGAGRGGGGCUGCUCCUAGUACGAGAGGACCGGAGUGGACGMAUCACUGGUGUUCGGGUUGUCAUGCCAAUGGCAYUGCCCGGUAGCUAAAUKCGGAAGAGAUAASYGCUGAAAGCAUCUAAGCRSGAAACUUGCCYCGAGAUGAGUUCUCCCUGAGACUACAAGUCUCCUGAAGGAACGUUGAAGACGACGACGUUGAUAGGCYGGGUGUGUAAGCGCGAGUUGGCGUUGAGCUAACCGGUACUAAUGAACCGUGAGGCUUAACCUU